rnacentral:rRNA from 1 species
UACGUAGGGGGCAAGCGUUGCCCGGAAUCAUUGGGCGUAAAGAGCGCGUAGGCGGCUAGAUAAGUCCGGUGUGAAAGUCACAGGCUCAACCUGUGAAUGCCGCUGGAAACUGUCUGGCUAGAGUCCGGAAGGGGCGAGUGGAAUUCCUGGUGUGGCGGUGAAAUGCGCAGAUAUCAGGAGGAACACCAAUGGCGAAGGCAGCUCGCUGGGACGGUACUGACGCUGAGGCGCGAAAGCGUGGGGAGCAAACAGG